rnacentral:lncRNA from 1 species
UGUCCACUUUAUCUCCACUUUUAAGGGAUAAAUAAUCCUCAGAAGGUAGCAUAUUAUAUUGCUAUUAGUCAUCAUUCAAACUUCACAGCGUCUCUACUGCCUGUAGAAUAAAGGCCAGAUUUCGCUAGAGUUAGGGCUCCCGUGGUGUGUCAUUAAUCCCCCUGACUAACGUGAUUUUGCUUUUUCUAAUCCUUCUUUAAGACAUGAGAUUCGCUCCAGUUCACCUAAAUGCAGAAGAGAAGGCGAGAGGACCUGCUGGUGGGCCUGGACUCUGAACCCUUCCUGCAGCCGGAGAGGAAGGGCAUGGACGCCAGUCGGCCUUCGAAAUGGGGUACCAGGUGGAAAGUGGACGUUGGAAGAUAGGGUAGAGGUGUUCAAGAGUGGAGCUGUGGUACGGAAGCUCACUCUUGAGAUCUUUUCAACCACCGUGGGCAUUGUUUUUUCUAGCUUAUACUUAAAAAACCGACCUUCAGAGCAUUGAAGUGGCUUUAUUAAGCUCGUAGCCACUAGAAGUGGACCUAGAAUCCACAUCUUCAGACACUGAAAGAAGUUCUUCUUAGACACAUGUAGCUAGUGGUCAAAUUGUGCAAUCGUCAAACCCUGGUUGAGGAGUAUGGAGUCUCUGCUGCAGGGCAUGGAGUGCAAUGAAGAGUUUUGUUCUGGGAAGGGAUUUGAUGAAUGUGGAGGCUUGAUUCAGUGGCAAUAAAAUGUUCAUGGAAGAUCAGUCUGCAAGUAGCCGGGAACAGAUUUCACAAUGACAGCAGUGGGAACGACAAGAAGAGGUGGAUGGGAGAAACAGUUGGAGGAGGAAACAGGCCAUGAAAUGGUCAAGGGCAAAAGAGGGGCCAAAGAGACGUGAAUGACCUGGAAAUUCCAUGUUCAGGACCAAGAAUGAAGAAACAGACCCAACGGGAUGUGAUAAAGAAAACAAUGUCGAGAAACUGCAAUUCCUAUUAAGAACACUUGACUGUUUACUCAGCACGAGAACUUCCAGCUCCAGUCUGCAUCAAUCUAACUGCGUUUCGAGACGUCAGGCCCCCGAAAAGUGCAGACGGUUAGUUGGUUAUUUUUAAAUGUAAUCUUCACAUAAAAGAAUCACGGCGUUUUCCCUUUCACUUUGUCAUCCC